rnacentral:sRNA from 1 species
UCAACUAUGGGCCUACUCUUGUGAUAUC